rnacentral:rRNA from 1 species
AACGAACGCUGGCGGCAGGCUUAACACAUGCAAGUCGAACGGAUGUAGCAAUACAUCAGUGGCAGACGGGUGAGUAACACGUGGGAACCUUCCUCGUUGUACGGAACAACUCAGGGAAACUUGAGCUAAUACCGUAUACGUCCGAGAGGAGAAAGAUUUAUCGCAAUGAGACGGGCCCGCGUCGGAUUAGCUAGUUGGUGGGGUAACGGCCUACCAAGGCGACGAUCCGUAGCUGAUCUGAGAGGAUGAUCAGCCACACUGGGACUGAGACACGGCCCAGACUCCUACGGGAGGCAGCAGUGGGGAAUCUUGGACAAUGGGCGCAAGCCUGAUCCAGCCAUGCCGCGUGAGUGAAGAAGGCCUUAGGGUUGUAAAGCUCUUUUGCCGGGGACGAUAAUGACGGUACCUGGAGAAUAAGCCCCGGCAAACUUCGUGCCAGCAGCCGCAGUAA